rnacentral:rRNA from 1 species
UAGGGAAUCUUCCACAAUGGGCGAAAGCCUGAUGGAGCAACGCCGCGUGUGUGAUGAAGGCUCUCGGGCCGUAAAGCACUGUUGUAUGGGAAGAACAGCUAGAAUAGGAAAUGAUUUUAGUUUGACGGUACCAUACCAGAAAGGGACGGCUAAAUACGUGCCAG